AUUGAACGCUGGCGGCAGGCCUAACACAUGCAAGUCGAGCGGAUGAAGGGAGCUUGCUCCUGGAUUCAGCGGCGGACGGGUGAGUAAUGCCUAGGAAUCUGCCUGGUAGUGGGGGAUAACGUCCGGAAACGGGCGCUAAUACAGCAUACGUCCUGAGGGAGAAAGUGGGGGAUCUUCGGACCUCACGCUAUCAGAUGAGCCUAGGUCGGAUUAGCUAGUUGGUAGGGUAAAGGCCUACCAAGGCGACGAUCCGUAACUGGUCUGAGAGGAUGAUCAGUCACACUGGAACUGAGACACGGUCCAGACUCCUACGGGAGGCAGCAGUGGGGAAUAUUGGACAAUGGGCGAAAGCCUGAUCCAGCCAUGCCGCGUGUGUGAAGAAGGUCUUCGGAUUGUAAAGCACCUUAAGUUGGGAGGAAGGGCAGUAAGUUAAUACCUUGCUGUUUUGACGUUACCAACAGAAUAAGCACCGGCUAACUUCGUG
rnacentral:rRNA from 1 species